rnacentral:rRNA from 1 species
UGGGGAUAGAACAUUGCAAUUAUUGUUCUUCAACGAGGAAUGCCUAGUAAGCGCGAGUCAUCAUCUCGCGUUGAUUACGUCCCUGCCCUUUGUACACACCGCCCGUCGCUCCUACCGAUUGAACGUGCUGGUGAAGCGUUAGGACUGGAACUUUGGGCCGGUCUCCUGCCCAUCGUUUCGGGAAUUUCGUUGAACCCUCCCGUUUAGAGGAAGGAGAAGUCGUAACAAGGUCUCCGUAGGUGAACCUGCGGAGGGAUCAUUGAAACCGAUCAAACAUAUCACAGAGAACCUGCGGGCUUCGGCUCGCCGUUUAUGGAUCCGCCGGCCGGGCGGAGGGGUUCGCCCCCUCGGUCCGACCGCGCGGGCUCCAAACCCAUUCAACCCUCUGCCCUGAAGCAGCUUUCGCGUGGGGACUCCCCAGCGAGACAACUGAGACAACUCUCAACAACGGAUAUCUUGGCUCUCGCAACGAUGAAGAACGCAGCGAAAUGCGAUACGUAGUGUGAAUUGCAGAAUUCCGUGAGUCAUCGAAUCUUUGAACGCACAUUGCCGGUCGAGUCUUCGGACGAGACCACAUCUGCCUCAGCGUCGGAAUAAACCCUCACGGGCGGCCCCCGCGGCCCGUGGAUCUGGCCCCCCCGGCUCCCCCGAGGAGCCGGGCCGGCUGAAAUACAGAGGCUCGUGCGCGGCCCAUUUGCGGCCCCGACUAGGUAGGUAGCUCGCUACUGCUAGGCGGAGGCCCGGUGUCGCGUGCUGUGGGCCAUGAAGGAUACUCCUAUUCACUCGACCUGAGAUCAGGUGAGGCUA